rnacentral:lncRNA from 1 species
CUUCGCCCUUCUCCGUGAUUGUAAAUUUCCUGAGGCCUCCCCAGUCACGCUGAACUAGUCUUGCUUUCUCACCCAAUCUGGAGUAGAGUGGUACAGUCUUGGCUCACUGCAACCUCCACUUCCCGGGUUCAAGCAAUUCUCCUGCCUCAGCCUCCUGAGUAGCUGGGAUUGCAGGCACCCACCAACAUACCAGGCUCAGCUCAUCAUGAAGAAUGUCCAUGUGACUUUGGUUAAUAAAAUGUGAGGAAUCCAAAGUUCAAGAAAAGUUCAAAUAACCCACUCACAGUUGCACAGCUAGAGGGAGAGCUGGGAUAGAUCUAUAAAGCUGCAACUCCUGUGCACACAGAAAUAUGAAGCCACUUUCACCCUCUGGAAUCCUUCAGCUGGGCCUGGUGGCUCACACCUGUGAUCCCAGCACUUUGGGAGGCUGAGGCGGGCAGAUCACUUGAGUACCUGCUACAUAUCUCCAUGAUUGAGUCUGCUUACUGAGAGAAUAAAAGACAAGUUUCCAGAAUUUUGAGAAGAAGAGGAAGAAGAGCAGGAGGAGAGAGAGGAAGAAGACAACAAGAACAAGAGCAAGAACAAAGCAGCUUAUGUAAAAUACUGACAGCUUACUGCAAUUUUACAGCAUUCCUCACAAGGUGGUUCAGAAUAGAUCCAGUGGACUGUAGUCUGUUUAACUGAGACCUCACACAUAAUGUCAUGGUUGACAGUUACUGGUUGAAGGAAAUCCAUGUUGGGCUUCUGUGGAUGCUGGAUUCUUUCCUUCUGAGAAGAAAUAUAACACACUGACUUUGAGGUGAUGGUGGAGAAAAAGUACAAGCAGAAGACUUUUCCCAACUUCUCCAUAGCUAAUUAAAAACUACGAAUUGCCUUGUUUGCUUAAACUGGCUGCCAUGAAAUGUUGAAAAUGCCUUAAAAGAAACAGCGAUACUAAAGAGGAUCUUUUUAAAAUUCCUGCUUUGUGUGGUUCAAGAUGGAUGUCUGGACUCAUGCAUUUACAAUCCCUUCAUCCAAAUUCUUACUGAAACAAUAUUAAAGAUAGACAAAAAAGAAUAGAAGGGAGAAUCCAUUAAUAUACCAGUGAAUUUGAUGACUUUCUGGAAAAGAGAGAGUGAUUAAGAUUUAAUUUACAGAUCCCACAGAUAAGUGAGAACAUGUGAUGUUUGUCUCUCUGUGCCUGGCUUAUUUCACUUAACAUAAUAAUCUCCAGUUCUAUCCAUGUUGUUGCAAAUGAUUGGAUCUCAUUCUUUUUAUGGCUGAAUAGUACUCCAUUGCAUGGCUAGCUUUGACAGUAAGAAGUUACACAUUCUGCUGGGAGCCAGCCUCAACUUAGGGGAUCACAAAGGAAGCAAGAAGCAGCUGGGAAGAAGUACAGAGCCUGUGACACAACUAGAAAAUAGGCACAAUGGCAGUCUGCUCUACACGUACCCUGCAAAACACACCUGUGUUUUAUGCUGCCUUUCUUCUUCCAACAGGAUAAAUUGGUUUUUCUCAGCAAGGAUAACGUUGGGGUUAACCACUUGAAGCUUCAGAGACUGCAGUGAGGCCCUGGCAUAGGAACAUGCUCAUCACGGGCAUGUUCACAGAGCAAAGCAGCCAGCGUGACUGCAGCACAGAGUAGGAAGGGUGUGGAAGGAGAUGAGAGAGAAUGAAGAGGGAAUCUUUGAACUUGAUUACCAAGGAGAUGGGAUGAUAAAUCCAUCCAGCCACUCCAAGAAGCCAAGUUAAGGGAUGGAAGCACUGAUGAAGAGCACAGACAGAAUCAAGUGUACAUGCAGAACAUAUGGUAACCAUAUAAAGGGAUGAUGUCAAAAUUCUCAGCCUCCUUGCUCUUCAGUAUCUUCUUCCCCUUUACCUCGUCUGGAUGGUGUAUAAUGAAGAGGCACCUAGCGGUGCCUCCUGCCUCUAGAGUAAGAUUCAAGGGAGGAUAUAUAGGCUCCUCCAUAGGGUCAAGAGGUUUUCAAAGGCUGUGUUGUCCCAUCCAGCUACCAAAACAAGAGACAAAAUUGUGACCUGGAGUUGAAACUCUAGUGAGUGAUAAAGAGGGGAAGUUUCCUAAAGCAGAAGUUCUCAGUCUGGGGGCUAUCUGUGUGUUGUGUACUGAAUUUUGUGUCCUCCCAAAAUUCAGACGUUGAAGCCCUAGUCCCCAUUGUGGUUGUAUUUGGAGGUGGGGCUUUGGGAGAUGAUUAGAAUUAGAUUAGUUCAUGAAGGUGAAGCCCUUCUGAUGGGAUUAGUACCCAUACAAGAAGAGACACAAGAUCCCUCUACCAAUUAUGCUAGCUCUCCUCUCUUUCUCUCUCCACCGUCUGGGAUACUUCAGGAAGAUGUCUGUCUGCAAACCAGGAAGAGGUCCCUCAAGCACUAAAUCUGCUGGCACCUUGAUCUUGGGCUUCCCAGCCUUUAGGACUGUGAGAAAUCUUUGCUGUUUAAGCAAUCCCAUCUAUGGUAUUUUGUUACAGCAGCCCAAGCUGACUAAGACACUGUGGAUACCUUGCAUGCCUGGGAGGCUUGCACAUCCUUGGACAUUAUAAGUAAUAUUUUUCUGAAAAGGGGUCAUAACUCUCAUCGGAGAGUCAAAAGACCAAGUCUAUGACUCCCAAAAGAUUAUAUACCACUGACGGAGUGGCCCUUGUGUUCUUAUCCUGUAGAACCACAAGAAACUUGAGGAUUGGGGAUCCUAGUCCUGGCCUUCAUUCCGUACUUGCAUGACCAACAUCUAAGAGUACUAACAAAUAUGAUGAAAUAAGAAAGAUUCAAGAGGAUACACAUAUUUUCUUUGUCCAAUGUUGCUAAUAUCCACCUGAGAGUUUAUUAUCCAUAAUAAAAUGUGGAAUCCAGUCUGUACACCAUGA